rnacentral:rRNA from 1 species
GAUCCUGGCUCAGGACGAACGCUGGCGGCGCGCCUAACACAUGCAAGUCGAACGAGCGAGAGAGAGCUUGCUUUCUCGAGCGAGUGGCGAACGGGUGAGUAACGCGUGAGGAACCUGCCUCAAAGAGGGGGACAACAGUUGGAAACGACUGCUAAUACCGCAUAAGCCCACAGGUCGGCAUCGACCAGGGGGAAAAGGAGCAAUCCGCUUUGAGAUGGCCCCGCGUCCGAUUAGCUAGUUGG